rnacentral:misc_RNA from 1 species
GAACGCACAUUGCGCCUUCUGGUAUUCCGGGAGGCAUGCCUGUUCGAGAGUCAUUGACACAAACCACGUCGUCGACCCUCACCUUUCUAAAGGGGGGUAGGGGGUCGUCGGCGGUCCUGGUGGAUGAGGGGGGAAUAGUUGGCAAAUAUAUAUAAUAAUCUCCUCCCCACCGAAAUUGAGAGGCAGUCUGUGAGUGAUAAAAACCCACACAUGUUCGUUUAUGGCGUUGUAUAGACGGCUCUCAAAUUGUGGAGCCAACUCUGUUCGCUUGUAACAAACUUCCCUGGGUCUUACCUCGACUAGCCUUCCAAAGUUCCUAAAAUCUCAAGGGUUUGACCUCGGAUCAGGUAGGGAUACCCGCUGAACUUA